rnacentral:tRNA from 1 species
GGGGGUAUAGCUCAGUGGUAAAGCGACUGCUUAGCAUGCCUAAAGUCCUGGGUUCAAUCCCCAGUACUUCCA